AAACCAAGAAGAUUAAGUCAUGCAUUAUUUCGGUUAAAAGACAGUUAGGCAUAACAAAGCUUGUUGAAUUUUUAUCUAGAAGUAAAAUUCGUAAAUAAUAUAGAAAUUUAGUUGCUGCUACAAAGCUGAAGCUGUGAUGUCCUUGAGGGAAACUGGGAUUAGAUACCCCACUAUUCUUGGUAGUAAAUAAAUGACAUUUACCAGAGUACUAUGAAUUAAGCAAUAUUUAAAACUCAAAGAGCUUGGCGGUGUUUUAGACUCUUUAGGGGAACCUGUCUCAUAAUCGACAAUCCACGCAAUACCUAACCUUUAUUAGUUUUCAGUUUGUAUACCGUCGUCGUCAGGUAACUUUUUAGAAAAAAGAAGUUAGCAGAAGAGCAAAAAUAAGCUCCUACGUCAGAUCAAGGUGCAGCUUAUGUAAAGGAGAGGAUGGGUUACAAUUAUAAUAAUCAUAAUUACGGAAUAACUGGAUUAAAUACCGGUAGAUGAAGGAGGACUUAAAAGUAAAAUAAAAUAUAUAAGUAUAUUGAAUCGAGCUCUGAAACGUGC
rnacentral:rRNA from 1 species